UCUCACUUGCUCUCGCAUCAUAUCUUCCUCCUUUCUAGACUGCAAUAAGAGACAACCACAGAUUAGUUGUAUAAAAAAUUAACAGUAAUCUUAAUACAUAGCAAAUCUCCCUUGAACAUUAAUGUCCACCAUUCUGUUCUAAAAAAGUACCUGUGGCUCAAUUUCAAGCUGUUGUUCAAACUGCAACCUUGCUGCACGCUCCACCUGCUCCUUUUUUUCCCUGUCAUCCUGUCUUUUCUUCUCCCACCUCAACCUUGCAGCCACAGACUUCGCCUGUAAUACAUAUUUUGAAACAUACAUUAAUGUUUUUUUUUCUCUUGUGUCAUACUAAUUCUUUAAGCUUCUUGAUUCUUAAUUAAGCUCUCAAGAAGCUAGGGAGUUAAAGAGUACGGAUAGACCGUAGAAUACAACUGAGUUUUGAAUAUUUGGGUUGAACGUUUGCAAAGGAUGAAUUUGAAGAUUGUCCAAAUUCAACUUGUUGUCGCAGAAUUAGAUCAGAGUAUGAUUUUGAAGUUGUUCCAAAUACAACUUGUUGUUGCUGAGUUCGAGAAUCUAAAACUAUAUGUUGUGCUUGGGUUGUUUGUUGUCCAUCCUCGCCAGCCUGCCUUGAUGUUUUCUUCUGCCUCUUUGAAGAACUGAUACAUAAAUCUAUUCAUUAAGCAUACUGAUCAAUAAAAACGUUAGAAUUCAAUGCUACAUAAUCAAAGACUAACCUCAUGGUGUUUCAAAUCAGUUCGACAACGUCUGCAAACGUUUACUAUCCCAAAUACUAUGAAUUGAUAUUCCUUCACACAGAUAGUUUUGGAGAAUGAAGCUAUUCUCCGUUUGUGAUGCUGUACGAAUUUCACUUAUAGACUGUUAAGCACUCUUAUAUAAGACGUAAAUCAACUUAUAUUAAGAAACCUAGUUGUGUCUAUACUUUGGAAUUUCCCAAGUUUAGGAAACUGAAUUCUAUUAAAGUUCUUUUUCUUAAGAUUCCCUAUUGUUUUUGUCUACAAAGUAUAAGAAACCGAAUUCUAUUUGAUUUGUUUCAAUGGGUAUUUCAGGUUUAGGAAACAAUUCGUCCGAUCAGUACACUUGUAUUCCUCUUAAUAUUUCGUGUGCAAGACAAUUUGUCCUUUAGGUUGCUUUUUCUUGAAGCUGACUUGUCAUUACCUUUUGUGCUGAUUUCUUUACGUUCAGAUUUCAGAAUCCUUGCUUCAAAAUACACUCAAUUGCUUGGUAGAUGUGGUUCAUUCUGAAACUGCAUCUUUGGCUUCCUUCGCAAUGCAAGCACUGGGUCAUAUUGGAUUGCGUGGUCCAAUGCCUGUUCGGCACUCUGGUUCAGGUGAAAUUUUGGUGGUUUUGCAAGAGUUGGCUAAAUUAGUCGCUGGAGAGGAUAUCAAAGCAAUCCAGAGAACUGUGGUCUCUCUUGAUUUAAUAUUUAGUCUAUGACAAUCUAGCUGCCCAUGUUAUCAUAACAUAAAAAAGUUGUGUUAAACACUAUCAGCUAAGAGUUCAAGUUAGUGCUAGUGCAGGGUAGUCAACAUAUCAAAUUAGUCACACAUGACCGUUCAACAGCUCCUAGAACAGAUGUAUCAUUCUUAGAUUUGAUGCAAGGCGUACUUCCAUAGUUAUAGCUUCGAUAGAUUUUUUACUAAUUGCAGAAGGUAUCCAAAUUCGCUUCGCCAAUUACUACUAAUUCGACUGCUGAGUCAAGUUGCUCUUCUUCAAAAGGCUUUGAUACAUAACCAUCCAUUCCGCAUUCCAUGCAUUUCUCAUAUGUUGCCUGGAAUACAUCAUCUGUCAUUGCUAGUGAGGACAAUUCAAAAUCCUACCACUAUGAAGAGGCAGUUGCUGUGAAUAAUUAUACGAAGCUGUGUAUAAUGUACCUAGUUUUUUAGUUUUGUACGAAGCUGGAAUUGUAUCCAUUUUUGGAAAUGGUCUUAGGUCUGUGUAUAAAGCUCAUGCCCCUAUUUAGGAAACUGAAUUCUAUUAGAGUUCUUUUUCUUAAGACUCCCUAUUGCUUUAUGAUUGAUACUACAGUGGAAGAGAGCAUUAGAUAAUUAACUUGUUAAGUACCUUCUAGAACAGGAGUAUCAUUCGUAGAUUGAUUUUUUACUAAUUGACAGAAGGUAUCAAAAUUCGCUAGGCCAAUUACUAUUAAUUUGAAUCUGUAAGAUGCAGAACUUAGUCUGUAAAAUGAAUUAGUCUCGCACAUCGGCACAUGAUCACUGACUUCUGACUUUAUCAUCAAUAUGUACGUUUAAAAUUUACAGCUGCUAAAGUUAAACUGUAGUGUAGAGCUAUCCAUUAUUGCAGUUGCCAUAACAAAACGAUUUUGUUGUAGGCAUGUAUCCGAAAACAGUAGAAAAGCCUGACAAACUUGUGACAGGAAGAUGCAGAGAAUGGGAGAAAAACUUGCAAGAUGGACGCAGCGUAAACUUGAAAAGGAUUCAUUAGUUUCUCAUGCAUCUUCAAUUUCUGAGGCAAAUAUAAGACCUAUAAAUCUUGCCGACCAGUUUUGUUUCUUUGGUUUAUGAGGUUAAGGUAUUAAUCAUGGGGUUGGCAGACACCAACCUUAGAAAACACAUGACGAAGUCCAUAGUUCAUAUAAGGAAUACUCCAAUACAUCUCCUACUAAUAAUAGUCUGCAUUGGACCCUCGAAAUAGUGAAUUCUGCCUACGGUUUCACUUGAGUUGUGUAUAGUGUACCCAAUAAUAGUCUCCUAUCAAUAAUGUAGACUUCAGUGUGUCCUUCAUGUUUCCCAAAUGCCAUGAAUUCAUUUUUUGAUUAUUAAUUUGAUUUUUUGUUGUUGUUGCAGAGCGCUCCUCCAACAAUAUUGGAGAGUCACCAGCUGUUGUGUUGAAGUCCUUGACACCCGUAUAUGGUGAUGCCAGUGCUGGCAGCUCCUUUUUGGAUGUCGGUGAUGUUGAGUGUGCCGACAUGCUUCGACUCCAGAGCGGCAAUGAGGUUGUUGUUAAGGGAAGAACUGAGUGGAGGCCCAAGCCGGUGAAAAAUUUUGGUGUUCCAGGCCAGUCCGGUACAAAGCUUGUCGGUAGCAUCAGUGGUAAAUCUACUUGCUAGCUCUCCGAAGCUUUCAUCUGCAGCUGCAAACAUCUUAUUGCUAUAUCUCGAAAUUGCUUAUCUUAUUGCUAUAUCUCGAAAUUGCUUAUCUUAUUGCUAUAUCUCGAAAUUGCUUGGGUAGAAAUCUUAUUGCUAUAUCUCGAAAUUGCUUGGGUAGAAAUCCUGUAUGCCUCGGAUAUGUCUUUUUUUUUUUUCUUUUGUUCCUUUUCUUUUCUAUAUGUUUUUACAGUUCCUCUCUUGUUUUCUUUCUUUUUUGUUCCCCUACAAAAAAUUGGAAGUCUGUGUAAUUAGCGUCUCCUGUUUUGUACGAAGCUGGAAUUGUAUCCAUUUUUGGCAAUGGA